rnacentral:rRNA from 1 species
UGGGGAAUUUUGGACAAUGGGCGAAAGCCUGAUCCAGUCAUGCCGCGUGAGUGAAGAAGGCCUUCGGGUUGUAAAGCUCUUUUAGUCGGAAAGAAAGAGUUGCAAUGAAUAAUUGUGAUUUAUGACGGUACCGACAGAAAAAGCACCGGCUAACUACGUGCCAGCAGCCGCGGUAAUACGUAGGGUGCGAGCGUUAAUCGGAAUUACUGGGCGUAAAGGGUGCGCAGGCGGUCUUGCAAGUCAGAUGUGAAAGCCCCGGGCUUAACCUGGGAAUUGCGUUUGAAACUACAAGGCUAGAGUGCAGCAGAGGGGAGUGGAAUUCCAUGUGUAGCAGUGAAAUGCGUAGAGAUGUGGAAGAACACCGAUGGCGAAGGCAGCUCCCUGGGUUGACACUGACGCUCAUGCACGAAAGCGUGGGGAGCAAACA